rnacentral:rRNA from 1 species
GUAACACGUGGGCAAUAUGCACCUUCACUCUGGGACAAGCCCUGGAAACGGGGUCUAAUACCGGAUAAUACUCCUGCCUGCAUGGGCGGGGGUUAAAAGCUCCGGCGGUGAAGGAUGAGCCCGCGGCCUAUCAGCUUGUUGGUGGGGUAAUGGCCCACCAAGGCGACGACGGGUAGCCGGCCUGAGAGGGCGACCGGCCACACUGGGACUGAGACACGGCCCAGACUCCUACGGGAGGCAGCAGUGGGGAAUAUUCGCACAAUGGGCGAAAGCCUGAUGCAGCGACGCCGCGUGAGGGAUGACGGCCUUCGGGUUGUAAACCUCUUUCAGCAGGGAAGACAGCGAAAUGUGACGGUACCUGCA